UACGAAGGGGGCUAGCGUUGCUCGGAAUCACUGGGCGUAAAGGGUGCGUAGGCGGGUCUUUUAAGUCAGGGGGUGAAAUCCUGGAGCUCAACUCCAGAACUGCCUUUGAUACUGAAGAUCUUGAGUUCGGGAGAGGUGAGUGGAACUGCGAGUGUAGAGGUGAAAUUCGUAGAUAUUCGCAAGAACACCAGUGGCGAAGGCGGUCACUGGCCCGAUACUGACGCUGAGGCACGAAAGCGUGGGGAGCAAACAGGG
rnacentral:rRNA from 1 species